UCUGGCCAGCCGGAUCCACCAGUGGGGAGGCAUGGGUCGGCGCCAGAUCUGGAGACCCCGGCCUCCCUGUUGGCCGACACGGCGACCAUA
rnacentral:pre_miRNA from 1 species